UGUCCAGUAGCACCUUAGAGACCACCUAAGUUUGUUCUGGAUAUAAGCUUUCAUGUGCAUAAGCAGAACAAACUUAGUUGGUCUUUAAGGUGCUACUGGACA
rnacentral:miRNA from 1 species